AUUGAACGCUGGCGGCAUGCCUUACACAUGCAAGUCGAACGGCAGCGGACCUUCGGGUGCCGGCGAGUGGCGAACGGGUGAGUAAUGCAUCGGAACGUACCUUUCAGUGGGGGAUAACGUAGCGAAAGUUACGCUAAUACCGCAUAUUCUGUGAGCAGGAAAGCAGGGGAUCGCAAGACCUUGCGCUGAUUGAGCGGCCGAUGUCAGAUUAGCUAGUUGGUGAGGUAAAGGCUCACCAAGGCGACGAUCUGUAGCGGGUCUGAGAGGAUGAUCCGCCACACUGGAACUGAGACACGGUCCAGACUCCUACGGGAGGCAGCAGUGGGGAAUUUUGGACAAUGGGGGCAACCCCGAUCCAGCCAUGCCGCGUGAGUGAAGAAGGCCUUCGGGUUGUAAAGCUCUUUCGGCCGGGAAGAAAUCGCACGGGCUAAUACCCUGUGUGGAUGACGGUACCGGAAUAAGAAGCACCGGCUAACUGCGUGCCAGCCGCCGCCGUAAUAC
rnacentral:rRNA from 1 species